AACACCUGUGAAGUGCUGCAGAGAGAGAGCAGGGAGAAAGGGAGAAGGGGGCUGGGUUUCUCCUCAUACCUUGCGUUUCCGAUCGGCCCUAGAGAUUUUCCGCUGCCUUUUCCUCUCCUUCUCGAGGUUCCUCUCCCUCUCUUCGAGUUCAGACUCUCGAACUUUUUUAAUGGAAGCGGCUGCGUGAGCCAUGGUGGAGAGGAAGCCACCAGCUCCAAGGGAGCUGGUUCCACCACACGAGGAUAUCCAGCACCCCAGAAAAGGUCACAGCUCUGCUCCAGCCACUGCAGCACCCAUUGCUCGGGAGCAUAAGCCACGUCCACGCAGGCACUGUGGGAAGUGCUGGCAGCCAGGCACACACGACCAGAGAGCAGCAAAUAUCUGCUAGCAGCCUGAAACCGCUUCAGCUUGGCUGCGGCUGCCAGUGAAGAUGAGCUUCAGACUUAGCAGGGGAGUGGAAAAGAUAAUAAAGAAAAAUCGGCCUUUAAACACACAUCACCAAAGUGGAGAGGUCUUCGGGGAUUCCUCCAGAGAGGCUGCGUCUUCUGACUGGGAGGAAGGCUCCACUUCAGCAUCCCCGGCGGGAGGGGGAGGGGGCAGCUCCCUUCAGCUUUUCACAUCGUCCUGAUGCAGGGUGAGAAGAAAAUGGUGCAGUCUGACUUACUGACUUGCUGCUGCGCCCGCCUGGGCUGGAAGCUCGGCGUACGCUCGCCCGCUCUUCUCUCCCUCCUCACCUUCUUUGCUGAGCCGGAGAACAGGGAAGCAGAAACUGCUGGGCUCAAGCUGCUCACCUGCGGGCAGCACGGGGAGCCGCCUGGAAACCGCUUUGCAACAGCCGAGCCCUCAUUGUGCCUUUAUGCAGCCACGUGAGGCUGCAUCGGGAGGGCUGCGGGAAGCAGCGAACCAAAGGCAGCGAGGAGGGGACGCAGCGAGGGGAACACACUGCCUGCGUAGUCCGAGCUUAGCCUGCCCUGCUCCACCGAGGUAAAAAUAAUACCCCUGCGUGUGCUGCUCAUUAGCAUUCCCUGCCAAAAAACUGCCUUCAGACGCUGCCUAAGACAACUUAUGAAGCCCUGUGUUGAAGGUGGAGGGUAAUUAUAGCUCUGCACCAAUAGAGACCAAGAAAGACAGAGACAACACGCUGUUAAUUAGACUCCCCCUUCUCCUCUCCGCUCAGAUAUCAUUUGGGUUUGGGGCAUUAAUUUAUAGUGCUAAUAUCAGAAACAGAUGGGUCUGUCAUUCCUUCAUUGCUUAUACCCCUCCUAAAACUAGCAUAUCAAAGCUCUUCUCCCGCCUCCCUGGGUAACUGUUAUCACAAUUAAUGGCAAGCAUUUAUUCAUCAAAAGAGGGCACCUGUAGGCACAAAGAGCCUUUGCAUUAGUCCCUGGCAGGCGGCUGAUCACAUUUCAACAUCUUUCAACACCAUGGAUUAGGCCUCUGCCAGGCAGGUCCUGAGGGAGAGGAAGAGUGUGACGUUCUGAUGCAGCAGAGAUGUUUGCAUCCCUGGCUCAGCCACCAUGGAGAAGCAGGGAUGUGGGAGCUCAGCGACAGCAGCACUAGAGAUCACACCAGGGAAACAAUUCUCUUAGCCAAAUUUCCCUCCACAGCAUACUGCUUGACUCCAGACUGAAUGGCCACUAAAUCCAAGCACCCUGGCUUUCAGGUAACACAGCACCACAGCUUUCACUACAGCACAGCACCCCGAAAUCAGUAACAGAAGAUCCAUGAGCUCUUCAUGUGGCCAGGACUAAUCCUGACCUCACAUUAUUUUUAUCCCAACAGAACUUGGUUGUCUCCAGUUCACACAGACCAAGACCACUUUUUAUGGCCAUUACUGAGGGCUUGUGCUUUUACUCCAUGAUUUCACUUUGA